UCUGACCUCACAGAGUGGAGAGGGAGAGAGAGAGAGAGAGAGAGAGAGAGAGAGAGAGAGACUCAAUUCAGCUAUUACUUACCUUGAUGAAGCUAUCUUUCAUAUGUUAUUCAACUUAACAGGCAGUGACUGGAACAAAAUCAUGAACAUUAUUUGCUAAUGGAAAUUGGACUUGGAGGGCCCCCAGAUGUGCUAUGCAGCUACAGAUCUCACAGGCACAGGGGAUGUAGCACAAGCAUGUUUUGGCAUAGUAAAGACACUCCUUCAUUCCCCAAGAUAGGGAACCAAGGAAGUUCACCUGCAUGGCAGUCUGGAAAGAGACCCUGAGAAGACCCACAACACGUCUUUGGGUGUGCAUUGGAGCCCUGGAGACAUUUCUGCCUAGUCUCCAGAUGCAGCUCUUGGAGCAGCUCCGACAGGAUGAGGGUGGUCGUCCACACAGCCAUGUCUGGACUCAUCUGAGCUAACCCUGGUGGGGGCAGGUUUGAGCCCUCAGCCGAGUAAAAAAAUUAAAAUCCUGAUAUCAAAGACAACCACCACCAUUCAAAAAAGAACAAAAACCCAAGCUACUGAUACCAAAUGGACUUUGAAGAGGUCAUUUUAAAGCAGGGGAGAGACACCAGCAAACAGGGCAACUGUCUGCGUGCCAUUGGCGCUCCACGGCAGGGUGUUUAAAGAUGCUCAGAAAGAGGUCAGAGCCUAUUGCAGGUAAUAGAGUGCAAUGUAGCCAGUGGUGUGCAGGAAAGAAAAGAGGAUCCCAGGCCCCCGAGGCCACUGGCAGCUGCUGUGUGUGUGUGUGUAUGUGCCACAGAGUGACAGAAAUGACAAACCGAGUCGUCAGAGAGAGGCCAGAGCAGCUCGAGUGGCUCUGUAAGAAGCCCCGCGGGGCGAGCGGCCAUGCACUUACACCAGCAUGGGCUGCUAAAGGAGCAACCCAGCCACCUCCUGCUUGCUGGAGGUGAGGGAUUGCAACUUGACCGCUAGGUCAUGUUCAGUAGGAGAUUUGAGGUGUGGGAGGCAAUUUUGAGCAUGAAGGGGAAAAAAGUGAAAGGAGUGCGCACUGUCUUUCCAUUUUCAGCCCAGCAAUACUACAGAUAUAACAGAUCCACUGUCUGGAUAUAUUAGAGGAAGUUGGUUUCACAAGGGCUGCCUCUCUUGUGUUCCAUCCACUACUGAAAAAGACAUGGGGUGCUUUCAAGGAGCUUCCAAUAACUUCAGGGACAUUUUGGAAAAUAUGCUGUAUUUAAAUUGAUAUUUUCUUCUUGCACUGUCCUGUUUCUGUCACUUCUCAUUCAU